rnacentral:miRNA from 1 species
UUGGGGAACACUGGGGCAUACC